rnacentral:rRNA from 1 species
UACGAAGGGGGCUAGCGUUGUUCGGAUUUACUGGGCGUAAAGCGCACGUAGGCGGAUCUUUAAGUCAGAGGUGAAAUCCCAAGGCUCAACCUUGGAACUGCCUUUGAUACUGGGGAUCUUGAGUCCGGGAGAGGUGAGUGGAACUGCGAGUGUAGAGGUGAAAUUCGUAGAUAUUCGCAAGAACACCGGUGGCGAAGGCGGCCAACUGGACCAGUACUGACGCUGAGGCGCGAAAGCGUGGGGGAGCAAACAGG